GCCGGAGUGGUGGAAUGGCAGACGCGCCGGACUCAAAAUCCGGUGGGGUUCACCCCCGUGAGGGUUCAAGUCCCUCCUCCGGCACCA
rnacentral:tRNA from 1 species